GGCUUCGUGGUUUAGUGGUAUAAUUCUCGCUUAGGGUUACACCCCAAGCUCCGCAUGCGAGAGGUCCCGGGUUCGAUCCCCGGCGAAGCCC
rnacentral:tRNA from 1 species